rnacentral:lncRNA from 1 species
ACUAUCAACACCUCCAAGGGAAAAGGGAGAGGAGUCAGCUCUGAUCGCCUGGCGCACUGUGCAGCAAAUUCAUGUCAGAGCCAGCCUUGGAAUGUCUCCCAAGCUCCCAAGGCUCCUGGUGAGGAGGAAAAGGAGCCUUUCUCCCAGAUGUGAAACUGAUCCUAAGACCCCCUGUAAUUUCCUGCUGAAAAUCUCCACCAAGAAACACAGCCACAGCCACAGUUCUUCCUGGUAAGAAGCCCCCAGGGCCAGGCAACAAGAAAAGUGAGCUCGUUCAGCAGGCUGGGAUGUAAAUAAGCCACAAGAGGCUGUGCCAUUCUGGGUUGCACCUGUGAGCAUCACUCAGCUGAAGCCCCAUCAGCGUUUCCAUGACAAACUCGUAUUUCCGGAUGCCUUUCUUCCAGCUUGAAGAGCCUGCCUCGUGGUUGUGAAAAGUGAAAAAGAAAAUCUAAAAAAGACAAAUGGAGAAGGAACAGCUAGUGAAGUCAGAGGAAGAUUGGAAGACCCUGGUGUCCUGGAAGCAACUGAAGAAAGUGUUUCAAGAAGAAAGGAGUGAUCACAUGACUUAAAAUGCCACCGAUGGGUCAAAUAAGAACAGAGAAUUGACCAUGGAAUCUGUCAACACAGAAGUCAUCAGUGGCCUUGAUAAAUGUAGUUUCACUGCCAUGGUAAGGAUGAAAGGCUGAUUGGAGCCUGUGACGGAGACUAGGAGUGGGGGAAAAAUGAUGUCAUCAGCUGAAAGUGAGAAGCAAGGAGAACUGCGUGCAGGCCUGAAAAGAAAGGAGGCGUGAUGCAGUCAUCUGCCAGAGGGAGUAGGAGAGGCGACUUGCCUGGGGAAAACAGUGUAGGAUUGCUGGGCAGCAAUAUGGCAGCAAUGUGGUCCUCUGAGGUCAGUGGUGAUGAAUUUAAAGGGAAACCUUUCAGUACAGCUCUGUGUUUUUCUCCAGCCACCUUUAACACCUGGAGUGCAGGCAUUAAAUAGCUAAAAGUCACAUUUGACAAGUGUUGAUUUUGCUAGGCCUAUAGGUUGGGAGAGAGAAGGUCAGAAUGGUUGUCAUUGUUAUCUAUUGCUGUGAAACACAUGACUCCAACACAAUUACUCCCAAACAACAAAUAUUUAUUACCUCAUAGUUUCUGUGGGUCACAGUUUGGAAUUUGGAAGCAGCUCAGGCUGGGCAGUUCUGGCUUGGGGUCUUUCACGAGGCUGCAGUCAAAUGUUACCUCAGGUUACAGUCAUCUAAAAGCUUGUAUAGGGCUGGAGGAUCUGCUUCCAGGGUGGUGCACUCACAUGGCUGGCAAGUCAGUAGUGGUGGUUGGUGGACAACUCAGUUCCUCUACAGGCUGUCAGAGUGUACUUACAGCCUGACAACCAGCUUCUCCCAGAGCUACCAGUCCAAGAGGGAGACCUAAUCAGAAGCUAUCCUUCUUUGACCUAUGCUCAGAAGUGACAUUGCGUUCCUU